rnacentral:lncRNA from 1 species
CCUACACAUUUUCUCAGAUAUUAUCAACAUAAAAAUAAUUAAGUAAUAAAAAUGAGUAAAAUUUGAUUUUUUUUGGAAAUAUCUUGACUGGGAUAGAUUGAAAAAUGGAAAGUGUUCAUGUAAAUACUAAAAAGUACAUUUUAAUUGCAGUUAUGAAAACUGUCAAGAGAAGCAUUGAUUGUAAUAAAAUGCAUUUGACAUCUUUCAGACUAAGCAGAAAAACCAGGAAGAAGGAGUAGCUGUGCAUGAACCACAGCUGGAGGACCACACUCUCCUCUCAGGCAGCUUCCUGGACUGUUUCAAGGCACUUUCAUCCUUUGUUACUCUGAUUCUUUACCCCUCAGAAUGGAAUAGCUGUGCUCACUUUGGCAGCACGUAUACUAAAAUUGUGAAUCAUAAAGAGAAAAUCAGCACGGCCCCUGAACAAGGAUAACACGCAAAUUCGUGAAGCAUUUCAUAUUUUUCAACAGAGUAAAAAAACAACUCACAGAAUGGGAGAAAAUGUUCACAAACCUUGCAUCCAACAAAGGCCUACUAUAAAGAGUCUUUGAGGAACUUAAACAACUCAACAAGUAAACAACAACAACAACAAAAUAAUUGAAACCUGGACAAAGCUGACAUGAACAGACACAUCUCAAAAGAAGACAUACAAGUAGCCAACAAACAUGAAAAAAUGCUCAAAAUCACUAAUUAUCAGAGAAAUGCAAAUCAAAGCCACAAUGAGAUACCAUCUCAUACCGUUCACAAUGCCUAUUACUAAAAAGACAUAAAAU